GCCCUGGUAGCUCAGCUGGAUAGAGCAACCGCCUUCUAAGCGGUAGGUCAUGCGUUAGAAUCGCAUCCAGGGUA
rnacentral:tRNA from 1 species